GACGAACGCUGGCGGCGUGCCUAACACAUGCAAGUCGAACGGGUGAGGGGAGCUUGCUCCUCGAUCUAGUGGCGAACGGGUGAGUAACGCGUGAGAAACCUGCCUUUCAGUGGGGGACAACAGUUGGAAACGACUGCUAAUACCGCAUAAUGUGCCGGGAGGGCAUCCUCCUGGUACCAAAGCUUUAUGUGCUGAAAGAUGGUCUCGCGUCUGAUUAGCUAGAUGGCGGGGUAACGGCCCACCAUGGCGACGAUCAGUAGCCGGUCUGAGAGGAUGAACGGCCACAUUGGGACUGAGAUACGGCCCAG
rnacentral:rRNA from 1 species